rnacentral:rRNA from 1 species
UACGUAGGGUCCGAGCGUUGUCCGGAGUUACUGGGCGUAAAGCGCGCGCAGGCGGCGGUGCUGGCCCGGCGUGAAAGCCCCCGGCUCAACCGGGGAGAGUCGUCGGGGACCGCACCGCUUGAGGGCGGUAGGGGCUGGUGGAAUGCCUGGUGUAGUGGUGAAAUGCGUAGAGAUCAGGCAGAACACCUGGGGCGAAAGCAGCUCUCUGGGACGGUACUGACGCUGAGACGCGAAAGCGUGGGGAGCGAACAGG